GAUUCCCCUAACUGCGAGUGAAGCGGGAAAGCUCAGAUUUGAAAUCUGGCGGUCUUUGGCCGUCCGAGUUGUAGUCUGGAGAAGCGCUUUCCGCGCCGGACCAUGUACAAGUCCUCUGGAACGGGGCGUCGUAGAGGGUGAGAAUCCCGUCUUUGACAUGGACUACCGGUGCUUUGUGAUGCGCUCUCGAAGAGUCGAGUUGUUUGGGAAUGCAGCUCAAAACGGGUGGUGAAUUCCAUCUAAAGCUAAAUAUUGGCGAGAGACCGAUAGCGAACAAGUACCGUGAGGGAAAGAUGAAAAGCACUUUGGAAAGAGAGUUAAACAGUACGUGAAAUUGUUGAAAGGGAAACGCUUGGAGUCAGUCGCGUCGUCCAGAAUUCAGCCUGCGAACUCGUCGGUGUACUUUCUGGGUUGACGGGCAACAUCGAUUUCGAUCGGCGGACAAGGGCGGGGGAAAUGUGGCACCCUUACGGGGUGUGUUAUAGUCCUCGUCGGUAUACGGUGGUCGGGAUCGAGGACUCCGGACGCCCUUUUGGCCGGGGUUCGGCCCACGGUAACAGGCUUAGGAUGCUGGCGUAAUGGCUUUAAGCGACCCGUCUUGAAACACGGGACCAAGGAGUCUAACGUGCCUGCGAGUGUUUGGGUGUCAAACCCAGACGCGUAAUGAAAGUGAAAGGUCGGGACCUCUGUCGUGGAGGGCACCGACGCCCGGGCCAGACCUUUUGUGACGGUUCCGAGGUAGAGCAUGUAUGUUGGGACCCGAAAGAUGGUGAACUAUGCUUGAGUAGGGUGAAGCCAGAGGAAACUCUGGUGCAGGCUCGUAACGAUUCUUACGUACAAAUCGAUCCUCAAAUUUGGGUAUAGGGGCGAACUAAUCGAACCAU
rnacentral:rRNA from 1 species